rnacentral:rRNA from 1 species
AUUGAACGCUGGCGGCAUGCCUUACACAUGCAAGUCGAACGGCAGCACGGGGGGUAACCCCUGGUGGCGAGUGGCGAACGGGUGAGUAAUAUAUCGGAACGUGUCCUGUAGCGGGGGAUAACCUAUCGAAAGAUGGACUAAUACCGCAUACGACCUACGGGUGACAGCGGAGGACCGCAAGGCUUCGCACUAUAGGAGCGGCCGAUAUCGGAUUAGCUAGUUGGCGGGGUAACGGCCCACCAAGGCGACGAUCCGUAGCUGGUCUGAGAGGACGAUCAGCCACACUGGAACUGGGACACGGUCCAGACUCCUACGGGAGGCAGCAGUGGGGAAUUUUGGACAAUGGGCGCAAGCCUGAUCCAGCCAUGCCGCGUGAGUGAAGAAGGCCUUCGGGUUGUAAAGCUCUUUCGGCGGGGACGAAACGGUUCGUGCUAAUACCACGGACUACUGACGGUACCCGCAGAAGAAGCACCGGCUAACUACGUG